UACGUAGGGUGCAAGCGUUGUCCGGAAUUAUUGGGCGUAAAGAGCUCGUAGGCGGUCUGUCACGUCGGCUGUGAAAACCCGAGGCUCAACCUCGGGCCUGCAGUCGAUACGGGCAAACUAGAGUACUGCAGGGGAGACUGGAAUUCCUGGUGUAGCGGUGAAAUGCGCAGAUAUCAGGAGGAACACCGGUGGCGAAGGCGGGUCUCUGGGCCGAUACUGACGCUGAGGAGCGAAAGCGUGGGGGAGCGAACAGGA
rnacentral:rRNA from 1 species